GCGGGUGUAACUCAAUGGUAGAGUGCCAGCCUUCCAAGCUGGUUACGAGGGUUCGAUUCCCUUCACCCGCU
rfam:Clostridium sp. N3C genome assembly, contig: N3C_contig6